GAUGAACGCUGGCGGCGUGCUUAACACAUGCAAGUCGAACGGACUGUACUUCGGUACAGUUAGUGGCGGACGGGUGAGUAACGCGUGGGUAACCUGCCUCGUACAGGGGGAUAACAGUUAGAAAUGACUGCUAAUACCGCAUAACCCACUAAGGUCGCAUGACCUAGACGGAAAAGAUUUAUCGGUACGAGAUGGACCCGCGUCUGAUUAGCUAGUUGGUGAGGUAACGGCUCACCAAGGCGACGAUCAGUAGCCGGCCUGAGAGGGUGACCGGCCACAUUGGGACUGAGACACGGCCCAAACUCCUACGGGAGGCAGCAGUGGGGAAUAUUGCACAAUGGGGGAAACCCUGAUGCAGCAACGCCGCGUGAGUGAAGAAGUAUUUCGGUAUGUAAAGCUCUAUCAGCAGGGAAGAAAAUGACGGUACCUGACUAAGAAGCCCCGGCUAACUACGUG
rnacentral:rRNA from 1 species